UACGAAGGGUGCUAGCGUUAUUCGGAAUUACUGGGCGUAAAGGGUGUGUAGGCGGUUUAUCAAGUCUGUUGUUAAAUUUCCCGGCCCAACUGGGAAUCCGCAGCGGAAACUGGUUUACUAGAGUAUGGAAGAGAGAGGUGGAAUUCUCGGAGUAGCGGUAAAAUGCGUAGAUCUCGAGAGGAACACCGAUGGCGAAGGCAGCCUCUUGGUCCAUUACUGACGCUGAGACACGAAAGCGUGGGUAGCAAACAGG
rnacentral:rRNA from 1 species